GACGAACGCUGGCGGCGUGCUUAACACAUGCAAGUCGAGCGGUAAGGCCCUUUCGGGGGUACACGAGCGGCGAACGGGUGAGUAACACGUGGGUGACCUGCCCUCAGCUCUGGGAUAAGCCUGGGGAACUGGGUCUAAUACCGGAUAUGACUCCAUGACGCAUGUUGUGGGGUGGAAAGCCUUGUGCGGCUGAGGAUGGGCCCGCGGCCUAUCAGCUUGUUGGUGGGGUGANGGCCUACCAAGGCGACGACGGGUAGCCGGCCUGAGAGGCGACCGGCCACACUGGGACUGAGACACGGCCCAGACUCCUACGGGAGGCAGCAGUGGGGAAUCUUGCGCAAUGGGCGAAAGCCUGACGCAGCGACGCCGCGUGAGGGAUGACGGCCU
rnacentral:rRNA from 1 species